AAGUCGUAACAAGGUUUCCGUAGGUGAACCUGCGGAAGGAUCAUUACCACGUAUAACACGUAACAACAAACAGAGAUUAUAACAAACAUCACUAUUGAUUCUACAUAUCAUGUGGAAUCAAUAGACAGCACAAAGAGGAAAGUACAGGACAGUUGAUGCUGUCCUUGUAUUUUUCUCCUUGUGUUGUGUAUUUACUUUACUUUUAUCUCCCCCUGUUCUACUAUGGUUGUUCUUGUCUGUGUGCUGUUAUGGCCCAUUGACCUGAUUGAAAAUUCUUCAAUAACAUACAACUCUUAGCAAUGGAUAUCUUGGUUCUC
rnacentral:misc_RNA from 1 species